CGCUACAUAUAGGAACACAUCUCGUAUUUGAGAUAUUUUUAGAAUUACCUAGGUUAUUGACCGUGCCUCUGCCAAGAGUUAACUGCUCUUAGUUUCCCCUCUUUCACUCUCAGAACGAUAGUGAUUGAAGCCUCAAAUUGAUACCCGGCCAUCAAGAAGUUCCUGUAACAGAUCAUCUUCUUCCUCCUCCAAAAAUAGGUCUUCACUUCUUGACACUCUAUCUCCUCUUAUCUCAGUCACAAAAACCCUAAGAACUCUGAAAUCCAAAGCACCAUCAGUGGUAAGCAGCUCAAGAAUCCUUUAGCUUUCUUUGCUGCAUCUGGGAUAUUUGAGCUAUCUACCUCGAAACCAUUGUAAAGAAAUCAAAAUACAUGUGAAAGUUGAUAUAAGCUUUACAAAUGUGAAGCCUUAUACCAUAAGCAGGUCCUAGUAUUAACUGGUGUAUACUGUAAAGUUAGUUUGAC